rnacentral:rRNA from 1 species
GACGAACCGUGCGAACGUUGUUCGGAAUCACUGGGCUUAAAGGGCGCGUAGGCGGACUGCCAAGUCCGGGGUGAAAUCCUCCGGCUUAACCGGAGAAUUGCCUGGGAUACUGGCGGUCUUGAGGGAGGUAGGGGCACGCGGAACUUCCGGUGGAGCGGUGAAAUGCGUUGAUAUCGGAAGGAACGCCGGUGGCGAAAGGCGGC